ACUCACUUAAGAGCACAUGGUGACUUUGGAAAGCUUUUUAAAAGUUAAACAUCUGUGAUUUUUCUAUAGAGGGAGCUUUGGAUUAGGGACAAAGAAAAGAAAAUCCAAACUGAUUGAAGCCUCUUUUCUUUUUGCCAUAAAAGUCAAUGCAUCACACCCCACACACUUCUAAGUCAAAGUAUACGUAUAACAUAUGUUAAUGCUUGUGGCGUUCAAUAGAUGCAUUAAUAGUUUGCGUUUGUUGUUUAUUUGUUGAGACAGAGUUUCUCUGUAUAGCUUUGGCUGUUCUGGAAUUCACUCUGUAGACCAGGCUGGCUUUGAACUCAUAGAGAUCCGCUUGCCUCUGCCUCCCACGUGCUGGGAUCAAAUGUGUGCAUCGCCGCCACCACCUGGCUAGGUUUUGCUAUUUUUUUAAUCAGCCCCAAGACUUUGUUUGUUCUUGUCUGGGAUUUGAUUGGUCCACAGAAUGUUCUAAACCCGCAGUGUGUUUCCCUGCACAAACAUGAGAGUAAAACUCUUAGCCUGUAAAAGCUUGUUUUUUCCUCCGGGUAAGCAUAAGCGUCUAAUUACUUCCAACACUGUAAGACACUCAUCCAUGGAAAGAGCACUCAGUCAGAUUUCCACUGUAGAAUGCCUAUGGCCGGCUCCCUUCUGCCUCCCCCAUGGUGGGGAUGGAGAACCCCUUCCUUUCAUAACCACUGUGUGCAUUCUGUGUCUGCUGAGGCACAGGAAGAAGUAGGGUAGGCUGGAUAGUGGGGUGUAUAAUGCUAACUGAAAAUGAACUGAAAUGCAAAAGCUGGGAUGGGUAAACGGGAGAUGGUUUUGGGAUGCACUGGACUGGCAUGUGGUGCUGAUGCAGUCUUCCUGGCAUGAGGUGACCACCCUGUACCGUUUGGGUAUAGAAGCAGCGCACAUUGAAGAUUUGUGACUAGGGGGACAAAGUGGUUGGUAUAUAGGUAUUAAAGGUUUGUGGUACGGACCACUUAGGUCAGAUGGCUGUAAGUGAGGGCUUGGGGACACCACUGAACUGGCCACUGCAGGGAUAGAAAGGAAAGUUUAUUGGGGAUCAAACCAAGACUAUCUCUGGGUGGGGAGGGGGAAACAGAGAAGAGUUGAAUGGCAGAAAGGCAAGCAGCUUUUGUAAAUAACAUUUUCUUUUUUUUUUAAGAUUUAUUUAUUUUAUGCAUAUGAGCUGUCUUCAGGCAUACCAGGAGAGGGCAUCAGAUCUCAUUACAGAUGGUUGUGAGCCACCAUGUGGUUGCUCGGAACUGAACUCAGGACCUCUGGAAGAGCAGCCAGUGCUCUUAACCUCUGAGCCAUCUCUCCAGCCGGAAGCAAGCAGAUUUUAUAUAACAGUCAGCAGGGUGGCAUCUUUGAGCUGAUAGUGGCUUUUCAAUUGAUCGGUAUCAAGAUGCCCUUGUCACUUUGGGGUAAAUUAAGGAACUUCCUGGUAAAUAAAAGCCCUCCUUUAGCCUUCUGUCUACCUAAUAAAAAUCCUUCUAUUUACCUGGCCAAAGUUCUUCUGUUUAGGACUUGUCAGAGCACUGCCAUUCUGGGGGCCACUUUGGACCUAACAGAGGCUGUGACAUAGAGAGAGACAGCCUCUCCCCCUUGUCUUUCUUUGUUGAAGGGAAAACAGAAAAAGUCUUCAAACGUGAGUACUGGUCAUCAUACUCAAUUCAGAUGAAUUCUGUCACCCCAUACCAGAAUCUCUACUGACCAAAGGCUUCAUAGUCCUGGCUUGAUUAAAGUCCUGGAGUUUUGACUAUAUUAGACAUGGAUACCAUUGGGAGGAUUCAUGGAGCUUCUAUGAAGGAUUCUACUGAUGUGAGAAGAGGAGACAGACUUCAAAUUUUUAUUGGACUAAUAAGAAAAGUGGUUACAAAUAAUUCUCAUUGUCAACUCCUCAGGCUUGAGGCAGAUUUGGACGCCUUUCCUGGCAGGAGAAGGUGUGUGUAUACUUGACUGUGGGCCAAGCUAAACUCAAGAGCAGCCAUUGGUCUUGCUAGAGUGGCCAAAACUUGCAUGUGUGCUCAUUCCCAAGGUCGCAGCUCUCUGAUUUGGCUUCCCCAGACCCCGUGAGGAUGCAUAGGUUGCAGAUGCGAGCUCUGAGACAUUUACAAUUGGCUAAUUUUAAGAAACAAGGUGUGUUCCUCUUUGUGGGUGUGAGACAGGGGUAUGGUUCGUGUUUCUGGGUACAUAAUCAUAUGUAGAGAUAGCCACGAUGUGGCACAAGCCCCAGGAGUUACUCUGUUGGCUGAUGGAGAGGCAGUUGCCUAACGAAAUUGAACUUGACAAUUAGCAAAGGGUGGCGUGAUUUGCAAUCCUCGUGGAAUCUUUUAAGUUUCAACGGAGUUAAUUAAGCCUGCCAUAGCAAAGUGUAAGUGUUACGUCCAGAUCAUUGAACCUAAAGUGGACGCUGAUGCUGAGUGGAACCAACCGAGCUUUGAAUAAUAAGCCAAGCAUGCACAGAAGCACGAUGGGUAAAUGCUAACUCCCAGAGUUUAAUAUCAGCAUCGUCACUCAAAUUCCACUUGAAAGUUUGACCUCCUCGCCUCCCAUGCUUCCUUCGGGUGCUCUUAUUUAUGUCCCUGUGACCCCCCGGCUGCUGUCAGUAGUAUGUAACAGGACAGCAUUCGGCAGAUUAGCAGUCAGUCGAGCACAGCUCCUCCUGAGAUGCCUUGGAAAUUUCCCGUAGACUUGUGCAGUAUCAAUUUAUUCCAAAUGUUUAAGUUACUUUCUCCUCCAUUAACUCUUAGUGUUUGUUUGUUUGUUUUGCCCAGUGUUUGGAAUUUAAAUCAAAAGAAAAUAAGACCAAUGAGCAUACAUUUUGUUUACUAAGCUAGCCAUCUGGGACGUAGGUUCAAGCAGAUGAACUUUUUUUCUGGUAAGCAAAAAACUUGUUUAUUAAAGUUUACACAAGCCUGUAAACAUCUGUAAGGAAAGACGUACUAUAUACUUUUUUAAUAUUUUGAAAUAUUUUUGAAACAUGCAUUUUUUUUAAACUCUGGCAAAAACAGUGACUUAGUGGAUUGAGAAAAUAAUACUUCUCUCAUUCCUCCCCCUGCCCCCCGCCUCCCUCUGUCAAAUGGUCCUCAUAACCUAUGCACCAAAGAGAACAGGCCCUUUAUGCAUAAGCAUCCUGUCAUUAAAACUCAGUGUGUUCCCCCCCCCC
rnacentral:lncRNA from 1 species